GUGGCCUCCGGCCCGCGGCGCCCCUCUCAUGUUUCCCGUCUCCGCCUCCGGCUGGUGUUGGCAAGGUUGGGCGCGACUUGGUGGUUGGUGGUGGCAACAACGACAUUGAACUCGACCACUGUGAGAUGCUCAAACCAAGGAAGACCAUGACGGGGAGGAGGGACUGCCUUUUCCUCAAAGAGGAGGUCGAGCGUCCGAGGUUUUGUGAGGGAAUGAAGCAAAACAACAUGAAGGAAAUAGAGCGGGUUGUGUGUCAUCGUGCACACAGUCUGCCUUCCAUUGGUGUGUGAGUACUUGCACUUGGAUUGCCCAAUUGUAUGUGCACUCUUGCAGCAGAUGGUUGCCUUGACUGGGACGCGCUUGCACAUGCCGUCAGACCGGAGACCGGGUGCACGCUCAUACAGAGGUCCUAUGGUUACUCGUGGCGCAAGAGCCUGAGCAUAGAUGAUAUCUGUAGAGCCAUCGAUUUGAUCAAGGCAAGAUUAAUGUAUACUAUGUAU